rnacentral:rRNA from 1 species
UGCAUGAAGUCGGAAUUGCUAGUAAUCGCGGAUCAGCAUGCCGCGGUGAAUACGUUCCCGGGCCUUGUACACACCGCCCGUCACACCAUGGGAGCCGGUAAUACCCGAAGUCAGUAGUCCAACCUCGUGAGGACGCUGCCGAAGGUAGGAUUGGCGACUGGGGGUGAAGUCGUAACAAGGUACC